CGAACGGGUGAGUAAUACAUAAGUAACCUGCCCUAGACAGGGGGAUAACUAUUGGAAACGAUAGCUAAGACCGCAUAGGUACGGACACUGCAUGGUGACCGUAUUAAAAGUGCCUCAAAGCACUGGUAGAGGAUGGACUUAUGGCGCAUUAGCUGGUUGGCGGGGUAACGGCCCACCAAGGCGACGAUGCGUAGCCGACCUGAGAGGGUGACCGGCCACACUGGGACUGAGACACGGCCCAGACUCCUACGGGGGCAGCAUG
rnacentral:rRNA from 1 species